GCAUGGCUGAAUACUGUGUUCUUUUUAUCAAUUGUUUACAUAGCCAGACAUCAUGAAAAAAAGGCAUUCUUACCUUUAAAGUGGUUAUGAUAGAGUGCCAAGUUUUUUCAUAGCACAUCAUUAGUAAAGGGAAAUACAAAU